GACGAACGCUGGCGGCGUGCCUAAUACAUGCAAGUAGAACGCUGAAGAGAGGAGCUUGCUCUUCUUGGAUGAGUUGCGAACGGGUGAGUAACGCGUAGGUAACCUGCCUUGUAGCGGGGGAUAACUAUUGGAAACGAUAGCUAAUACCGCAUAACAAUGGAUGACACAUGUCAUUUAUUUGAAAGGGGCAAUUGCUCCACUACAAGAUGGACCUGCGUUGUAUUAGCUAGUAGGUGAGGUAAUGGCUCACCUAGGCGACGAUACAUAGCCGACCUGAGAGGGUGAUCGGCCACACUGGGACUGAGACACGGCCCAGACUCCUACGGGAGGCAGCAGUAGGGAAUCUUCGGCAAUGGGGGCAACCCUGACCGAGCAACGCCGCGUGAGUGAAGAAGGUUGUCGGAUCGUAAAGUUCUGUUGUAAGUCAAGAACGGGUGUGAGAGUGGAAAGUUCACACUGUGACGGUAGCUUACCAGAAAGGGACGGCUAACUACGUG
rnacentral:rRNA from 1 species